rnacentral:rRNA from 1 species
GACGAAGGGGGCUAGCGUUGUUCGGAAUUACUGGGCGUAAAGCGCGUGUAGGCGGCCCUGCAAGUCGGAUGUGAAAUCCCACGGCUCAACCGUGGAAGUGCAUUCGAAACUGCAGGGCUAGAGUCCUGGAGAGGAAGGUGGAAUGCUUGGUGUAGAGGUGAAAUUCGUAGAUAUCAAGCGGAACACCGGUGGCGAAGGCGGCCUUCUGGACAGUGACUGACGCUGAGACGCGAAAGCGUGGGGAGCAAACAGG